GCCAUAGGCAACUCAGUAAAAGUAACGUCAAUUGACAUAGCAUUAUGAUGCACUUCUGUCUUGAUCAGCGGAUCACUCACCUCAAUACGACAGCACUCAUCGUCUGUUGUAAACAACAAAUCGAGAAAUCUGUUGUUUUGAUUCGGGAUACCGCAAAUUUGGAAAAAGCCACAAGCAGCCAUCGAAUCAACGAACAGUUCUUCUUCUGGCUGGCGUACUUGAUAAGGUGACGAUGAAUCUACAAUAUUGCGGAUGCUUUCUACGUAUGAUGCAUAGCGACCAAAAUGCGAAUCAGGAGGACGAUUCGAAAAUAACGUUA